rnacentral:rRNA from 1 species
CAGCCCUUGACAUCCCGGUCGCGGUUUCCAGAAAUGGAUUCCUUCAGUUCGGCUGGACCGGUGACAGGUGCUGCAUGGCUGUCGUCAGCUCGUGUCGUGAGAUGUUGGGUUAAGUCCCGCAACGAGCGCAACCCUCGCCCUUAGUUGCCAUCAUUCAGUUGGGCACUCUAAGGGGACUGCCGGUGAUAAGCCGAGAGGAAGGUGGGGAUGACGUCAAGUCCUCAUGGCCCUUACGGGCUGGGCUACACACGUGCUACAGUGGUGGUGACAGUGGGCAGCGAGACCGCGAGGUCGAGCUAAUCUCCAAAAGCCAUCUCAGUUCGGAUUGCACUCUGCAACUCGAGUGCAUGAAGUUGGAAUCGCUAGUAAUCGCGGAUCAGCAUGCCGCGGUGAAUACGUUCCC